rnacentral:lncRNA from 1 species
GAAUGGGACUCUUCAGCUGGGCUGCUGUCUGUGUGUCUGCAUCUGUUGUCCCUGGGUGUCCCCAGGUCCUUAACUGGCCUCUCCCUGGGGGUCCGUGAGUCCAUCCACCUAGAUGCAUUUGAAUUUUUCUUUGUCACUUUGGGUCUCAUUCACUCGUGCUCAUGUGGUCAUCGGGCACAUGCUAGGCCCUCUGUGUAGCACUGGACACAGAGACCUAUGUCUGACCUGGUUGAGUCUUGGCCAUUUCUGUCUCAUUUGCUCCUUUCCUUUAGCCACUGUUGAAACUUUCCACCUGUUCCUAUUCAAAUGAAAUCCAAAGUCAUUAUCAGAGCCACUGCUCCUGUAGCUCCCCCAUGAUCCCUCUGAUCUCAUUUCCUAUGACUUUCCCCAUGCAGUUGAUGCUCUGGCCAUCUGACCGCUUCCGGGAUAAACUACCUCAGGGCCUUUGCGUGCACUAUCCAGGGAGAUUUCCCCUGGCUUGAUCCUCCUGUUCUUAGUCAUCCCCCUUCCCUACAUUCCUCCUACAACAGCCCUCUCCCACUCUUCAUCUCCUUUCCCUGGUUUCUCUUCUUAGAACUUACUGCUCCAUGGCUGAUAUAUUUCAUAGGCCUGUCUGUGUCUUCCACCUGAACACCAGCUCCGUGAGAACAGGGGCUGCCUUCUCUCCCCGCUGUGCCCAGAUCACCUGCUCCAGGCUUGUCUUGCCGUGAAUGAGAGGGAGAGAAGCACAUUCAUCAAUGCAUCCAGCUCCCUAGCCCUGUGCUGGGUGAUGCUGGGGACACGGCCCUAACCCUGCCCUCAGGGGGCUUCCAGUCCAGCUGUCAGACAAUGAUGAGCAGAAUGAGCAGGGCCAGGGCCUGAAAGCAGAGGGGGCUGUAGGAGCCCAGAAAUGGCACCUAAUGGAGUCAGAGAGGGCAACCUGGAGGUGUCAGCUGAGGGUGGGGAUAAGGAAAAAUGAGCUAGGCCUCUUUCUGAUCUCUGGGAACCAAAUGACCAGAGCAGGGCCAGUCUCAUCUUCCUCCCAGAGCUCCCAUGUUCUCCGUCUGUCAGAGAACUUUAGGGGUUGAGAUGUCUUGACUCAGUUCCAAUCGAGACCUUGCCCUGGUUUCAGUCUCCCAUUUGCGGUUUUUUUUUUUUUUUUGGCAGCUCUGGGGAUGGAACCCAGGGCCUGCAUGAUGUCAGGCAAGUGCUCUACCACUGAGCCAUACCCCUGCUCCCCUCUGCUCUCUCUACGUCGCCCCUUUCUUCUAGAUCUCUG